rnacentral:piRNA from 2 species
UCUGUGCAUGUGUUAGGAAGUUGCCUAGAA